GGGAAACAAAUCUAAAAACUAGGACCAAAUUGAAAAAAUAUAUAUAUAUAUAUGGGGAGUGAGAUGCUGGAAUUCUGCGAGUAGGGUUCCUCUCUGCACCAGGGCUCCUCAGCGCCCAGAGUCACCUGCAAGGAAAGAAGGAGAGAUCUGAACAAGUUGGGAAUGCAUUCUUUCUGAAAGUAUCAGGACGGCGCCAGGCAGCUCAGUGUUCACAGACAGCUGUGGCGCGACGCAACUUAAGGAGGUUCUAGUGUCAUCCGCGCCGAGGGGGAGGAGCCUGGCGCUGGCGAGGAGGGGACAGGAUCCCCGGCACAAGGAAACAGCAACCCAAACCCGCUCCAGGACUUCACCCCCACCCCACCGCCCCUCCUCCCGCCCCGCCACUGACCGGAAAGGGGCGCCGCGGAGGGCGGCCGCGGGCGGAGGGGCGGCGGGCAGGGUGGGCGAGGCCGGCUGGGGCGAAGGGCGGAGGGGCGCGCACGAGGGAAUUCGCGCUCUGGCCCUUUAAAUGUGGCCUCGGCUCCUGCCGAUUCAUUCUAGCUAGGGAGACAAUUCCAUCCCGUUGAAACUGUCCUGCCCCAUUCAUAAAGUUAAUUUCCACCAGGCAGACUUUUCCUUUUUAGAUUUUUAAAUGGACAGACGUUUAUUAUUAUUACUAUUAGUCAAUCUGAGGAAUUUGGGAGAGUUUAUCAACUGGGGGUUAUGUGCAUGUUAAAGUAAUCAGAAAAAAAAAAUAAAUGUUUCAUGCUCAGGUUAAGUUCGGCACCCCUCCCCCGGCCCUGGCCCAGUUUCUUAAAAUGUUGAGGAAUCAGGAAUCUUUUUUUGUUGUUGUCGUCACUCUUUUUCCCUUCGGCUUUUAGUUUUCACAAGUCUCUACUGUGAAAAUGUCUCAGCUGUUGCAGCUGUCCUUUGCAGCCCUAAUAAUAUUUGUAAUCGAUGUGUGCUUUCAACUUGAGUGACAAUAGUGAUGGAUGACAGCGGGGAGGGGAGAUGGAGCCUCGCUCGAGCCUGCGCCAAAAUACGACCCAAGUAGGAGAAGCCAUCCCUCGUCAGUUCUGAAGGAGUCCUCAAACGAUGAAGAGAAAACAUCAGUAGUCAGCUUCAGCUGUGUGCGUGGAAAAGGCCCUUUUUUAAAAACGCAGUCCUUAUAGAAAGACUGGGAGAUGUGUUUGGCAGAAUGGGUCCCUCUAGUCUUGGAUUUGGCCCUUCUUUUUAAAAAUCUGAUGCUUUUUUGAAAUUAAAGUUGAUUUUCUACAUAUAAAACAGGAAAAAAAAUCCCUAAAUUUAAAAAUAAAUUCUUCCACCCGCGUUGCUCGUGCACCUAGUCGGUCUCCGGAAAGGGCUCCCGGUAAAGGAGCAUCGAUUUUCCUUUCACUCUUUGACCACGCAUCUCUCCUGGGCCAAACUGCCAGCCUCUCCUCCAGCUCACGGCGCUCUCAAAACGUUUUAAUUAUUCAGCUGCUGUCUAACAUUCUCCGGAAACUAGUCCACAAACAAGGAGAGACAAGGAAAGAAGGCCAGGGAUGAAGAUUAAGGAUGGAAAUUGUAAGAAAAAAUGAGAAAUGCUUCUUCGUGCGUGACCUUCAGGUUGUGGCUACCAACCACCCUGACCCUAGUUCGCAGCUCCCCAGAAAUUCUAAGCGUUGAGUUGAGUGUUGGUUCUGGGAACAUGGACUGAGAAGCCCAGAAAGGGCAAAAAGGAGCCAUCUUCCAAACCAACAACAACAAAAAAUAGACUCCAGGAUUUGAAAAUGUUAACUUCUGAAUCUAAGAAUGAUGUUAAAAGGCAAAAAGAAAAUGUUGGUGAGAGGUGGUCUUCAGCUGAAAGGGUGCCUAUGUGGUACCUUGGUGGCGGCAGGAGCAGGGAUUAUUCGUUUUAACUCAGUCACCUCCAAGUAGGACCGCAGUGGAGUGGAAAAGGCACACUCGCACCCCUCCCUAGAAAAAUAAAAGGUCUUGAAAGCUC